UCCGGUUUGGCACCGGCAGUCCCCCCAGAGUCCCCGGCUCGAAGGGGGUUAGCCCUUCUCUCCGCUGGCAACUGGGGGCGGGGGUUGCGCUCGUUGCGGGACUUAACCCAACAUCUCACGACACGAGCUGACGACAGCCAUGCAGCACCUGUGCUAGCGCCCCGAAGGGGGCGCGCCAUUUCUGGCGCGUUUCGCUAGCAUGUCAAGCCCGGGUAAGGUUCUUCGCGUUGCGUCGAAUUAAACCACAUGCUCCACCGCUUGUGCGGGCCCCCGUCAAUUCCUUUGAGUUUCAGCCUUGCGGCCGUACUCCCCAGGCGGGGCACUUAAUGCGUUAGCGCCGGCACCCGGGGGGUCGCUCCCCCGGGCACCUAGUGCCCAUCGUUUACGGCGUGGACUAC
rnacentral:misc_RNA from 1 species